UGAAGAAAUUCUAAAUCAGAAAGUGAUUUUCUAAGGAGUACAUACACAAUAAUUUUAAUUCUUUAAAUUGCCCAGGACAACUGAGGAUUGCAUUCACCAACAUUAUAAAUUUUCACUGGGAGUCUACAGAGUACUCAAAGAAAUGGAAAAGCGAGUCAUCUGGUAAUGCUUUGUUGGUAACCAUCUGACAAGCUCAGUACACAGAGAAGAUGGCUGGGAAGGCAUAAGAGGUCACUGGGAUUCACCUCUACCUAGUCAUCCUAUGAUGAGCCAUAUAGAACUAUCAUGAAAAUAAACCCAUCCUCCAGAAUUUACCAUUCAAUAACUUUAUGCAAUGGAAAUUUUCAAGGCAGAUCUUCACUGGAUUAAUGAAGAGGACCUCUGUGUGCCUCAAGAAAUGGAGAAUGGGUUGCAAAGUGCUUCCCACAGCACUGCCCUGGAGCAGAGAGGGUACAGAUUACAGGGAGACAAGAUAGCGAGCAGCGAACACUGCACAGGUAUAAAAACCCCACUCCUAGGAAAACAAGCAGCUACAGCAGGCAUUUUGCUGAACAUGUUGUCAGGGAGAAAUACAGCUGAUAAAGAAGCAGAUGCUGAUGGAAAGGCUGCCCAUGCUCGGGAACUGACAAUAACAGCUCUGGUAUGAAGAGGUGAUCUGUAACACACAGACUAUAGAGAACGUGAACAGUGUGGGAUACAGAAAAAAAAUCAAUAAGCCAGUUCAAUACAAGAAGAGAAGUCAACCAGAACAGGACAGAAACCAUUACCUUAGCCACACCUGGAACCACACUGGGUAUGCCCUGGAGUUUUGAAUAUUUAUUGAUAGUUAAGUUCAUUGUACAACCUGUAGGGUAAGGAAGGAGCAGUGUGCUUGUCAUGUUACAAAAGUCCAUGAAGACCUAAGGGCCUGCAGGAUAUUCAGCCACUUUUUACGGAGAGUCUACUAAACUGUGUUUUAUCCCCCCUCAAAAGCUGGCAUGAGAUAUGCCUCCAGCUUCAAGCAAAACAACUCUGCCACUUUAGCAACUGC
rnacentral:lncRNA from 1 species